UAGCACUAAUUUUAGAAACAAAGAUUAUAAAUUUAUAGAUAUAUGGAUCGAUAUUAUUUCCUAGACAAUUUUUCCAUUCAUGGAAUUUAAGGGUUCAUCGGCAUAUAUAUAAAACAUUUCAGGAAAAGCCAAAUCCUUUCUUGCACCCGCGCCUCUUUCGUCUUCUUAUUCUCUCCUUCUCUCUUCUGAAACCCUAAUCAUCUGUUUUUCAUGUAAUUAACAAAGGCAACUUUAUGUUUAUGUUUGUUACAGAGAUUAAUGUUGGUUCUAAACAAUCUUUGUGCAUCAAAUCAAUUUACGAGAUGUUGAGAGAGUUAGAUGUUAAUUUGAUGAUGAAUUAUCAUCUACCUCCAUAGAAAGUGUAAGGUUUUUGUAUACAAUUUUUUUUUUCCAUGUUGUUGCUUGAUUAAUAGUUAGGUUUUCUAUCUAUUGAUUUCUGUUGUUGUAUCUGAUUGCCAGCAAUAAUAACGAAUCUAAUCUCAACUCCAAUCCACAACAAGUAAUUAUUUUUUUGUUCUUUUCUUCUCUGUUUGGUUAGGGUUUUAGGGUUUUUGAUUAAUACAUGUUGUCUAUUUUGAAUCAUUGAUCAGGAUACCACUUCUUUUUUAGUUGUAGUUUAAUAAAAGGAUUAGAGUAGGGAAGAACUGGGUGUCUUGCAUCAACCAGUAUGCAGAAGUGCUUGAUCGAUUUUGAUGGCCGAAACAAAUUGACAGUCUUUAAUUUGUUCUCAUUUUACGCAUUCAGCAUAAACAUCAUAAAUACAACAUGAAGAAAAAGAUUCUUAUCGAGGUACAGAUGCACUGUUCCAAUUGCAGGUCCAAAGCUCUUAAACUCGCUACAGUGGCAGACAUCAGGUGGGGGAGAAGGAUAUUAACCCUUUGUACUCUGGAUUUAUAGCACGGUUGGAAUUAGAGCGCAGCUACAUACAAAAUUUUGAUGCAAUGGGAGUAUCAAGUUGAUUAUGUGUGUGGCCAUUGAAGCUGGAGAAGGAUAUUAACCCUUUGUACUCUGGAUUAUGUUAGUCAGGUGGGGGAGAAGGAUAUUAACCCUUUGUACUCUGGAUUUAUAGCACGGUUGGAAUUAGAGCGCAGCUACAUACAAAAUUUUGAUGCAAUGGGAGUAUCAAGUUGAUUAUGUGUGUGGCCAUUGAAGCUGGAGACAAUAUUUGUUGUUCUGGAUUAAAUUAGGGUGACUGUAUUGGUGCAUGAUUCCGUACUAACUACAGGUAUCCUAAAACAAUUUAGUCUAUUGCGUCUUCUUUUUUUUUUCACAUUAGUGUUGCCUGAGGAUUUGAUGUGAAGGAAGUAUUUAUAGGAUUUGAUGUGAAGGAAAAAAAGGAUUAGGAAGAAGAAAGAUUACUCUGAUUCAAACGAAGAAGAAGAGCAAGAUGCUAUUUAUGUGAGUGUAAGAACAUUUAACAAAGUUAGGAUUGUUCUGAUUAGGUUUUUGAAAUUUAAGAUUUUGGAUGAAGUAUUAAAAAAGGUAUAGGAGAAUGGGGUUGUUGCCAUUAUAACUUUCCAUCUCAGGAGUAAUUUAAGGCUUAAGAAAAAGCUUGCAAUAUUCUUGGCUGCAGAGUAUAAAGUAGAUCUGCAAGAGCUAUAAGUUAAAGACAAUUUUUGCACUUGGUAUUCCGUUUUUAGUAUGUUACAUUGUUUGCGACACGCAUCGGUGUUUUGGUAUUUGAUGUAUUUGCUAAAAUAACAUUUAGGAGUUUGCAUA